rnacentral:rRNA from 1 species
UACGUAGGGUGCGAGCGUUGUCCGGAAUUAUUGGGCGUAAAGAGCUUGUAGGCGGUUUGUCGCGUCUGCUGUGAAAAUCCGGGGCUCAACCCCGGACUUGCAGUGGGUACGGGCAGACUAGAGUGUGGUAGAGGAGACUGGAAUUCCUGGUGUAGCGGUGAAAUGCGCAGAUAUCAGGAGGAACACCGAUGGCGAAGGCAGGUCUCUGGGCCAUAACUGACGCUGAGAAGCGAAAGCAUGGGGAGCGAACAGG